GUCGGGUAAGUUCCGACCUGCACGAAUGGCGUAAUCAUGGCCACGCUGUCUCCACCCAGGACUCAGUGAAAUUGAAAUCGCAGUGAAGAUGCUGUGUACCCGCACCUAGACGGAAAGACCCCGUGAACCUUUACUACAGCUUGGCACUGAACAUUGAACCUACAUGUGUAGGAUAGGUGGGAGGCUUCGAAGCAGCGUCGCUAGAUGUUGUGGAGCCGUCCUUGAAAUACCACCCUUGUACGUUUGAUGUUCUAACAUUGGCCCCUAAGCGGGGUUGUGGACAGUGUCUGGUGGGUAGUUUGACUGGGGCGGUCUCCUCCCAAAGAGUAACGGAGGAGCACGAAGGUUGGCUAAUCCUGGUCGGACAUCAGGAGGUUAGUGCAAUGGCAUAAGCCAGCUUAACUGCGAGACAGACACGUCGAGCAGGUACGAAAGUAGGUCAUAGUGAUCCGGUGGUUCUGAAUGGAAGGGCCAUCGCUCAACGGAUAAAAGGUACUCCGGGGAUAACAGGCUGAUACCGCCCAAGAGUUCAUAUCGACGGCGGUGUUUGGCACCUCGAUGUCGGCUCAUCACAUCCUGGGGCUGUAGCCGGUCCCAAGGGUAUGGCUGUUCGCCAUUUAAAGUGGUACGCGAGCUGGGUUUAGAACGUCGUGAGACAGUUCGGUCCCUAUCUGGUGUGGGCGUUGGAUGAUUGAGGGGAGCUGCUCCUAGUACGAGAGGACCGGAGUGGACGAACCUCUGGUGUUCCGGUUGUCACGCCAGUGGCAUUGCCGGGUAGCUAUGUUCGGAAUAGAUAACCGCUGAAAGCAUCUAAGCGGGAAACUCGCCUUGAGAUGAGACUUCCCGGGAACUAGAUUCCCCUAAAGGGUCGUUCGAGACCAGGACGUUGAUAGGUCAGGUGUGGAAGCGCAGUAAUGCGUUAAGCUAACUGAUACUAAUUGCCCGU
rnacentral:rRNA from 1 species